AGAGUUUGAUCCUGGCUCAGGACGAACGCUGGCGGCGUGCUUAACACAUGCAAGUCGAGCGGAAAGGCCCUUCGGGGUACUCGAGCGGCGAACGGGUGAGUAACACGUGAGUAACCUGCCCCUGACUCUGGGAUAAGCCCGGGAAACUGGGUCUAAUACCGGAUAUGACACCUCCUCGCAUGGGGUGGGUGUGGAAAGUUUUUCGGUUGGGGAUGGACUCGCGGCCUAUCAGCUUGUUGGUGGGGUAAUGGCCUACCAAGGCGACGACGGGUAGCCGGCCUGAGAGGGCGACCGGCCACACUGGGACUGAGACACGGCCCAGACUCCUACGGGAGGCAGCAGUGGGGAAUAUUGCGCAAUGGGCGAAAGCCUGACGCAGCGACGCCGCGUGGGGGAUGACGGCCUUCGGGUUGUAAACCUCUUUCAGCAGGGACGAAGUUGACGUGUACCUGCAGAAGAAGCGCCGGCUAACUACGUGCCAGCAGCCUCGGUAAUACGUAGGGCGCAAGCGUUGUCCGGAAUUAUUGGGCGUAAAGAGCUCGUAGGUGGCUUGUCACGUCGGGUGUGAAAGCUUGGGGCUUAACUCCAGGUCUGCAUUCGAUACGGGCUGGCUAGAGGUAGGUAGGGGAGAACGGAAUUCCUGGUGUAGCGGUGAAAUGCGCAGAUAUCAGGAGGAACACCGGUGGCGAAGGCGGUUCUCUGGGCCUUACCUGACGCUGAGGAGCGAAAGCGUGGGGAGCGAACAGGAUUAGAUACCCUGGUAGUCCACGCUGUAAACGUUGGGCGCUAGGUGUGGGGACCUUCCACGGUUUCCGCGCCGUAGCUAACGCAUUAAGCGCCCCGCCUGGGGAGUACGGCCGCAAGGCUAAAACUCAAAGGAAUUGACGGGGGCCCGCACAAGCGGCGGAGCAUGUUGCUUAAUUCGACGCAACGCGAAGAACCUUACCAAGGCUUGACAUUGCCCGGAAACACUCAGAGAUGGGUGCCUCUUCGGAUCGGGUGACAGGUGGUGCAUGGCUGUCGUCAGCUCGUGUCGCGAGAUGUUGGGUUAAGUCCCGCAACGAGCGCAACCCUUGUUCAAUGUUGCCGGCACGCUCCUUCGGGGGUGGUGAGAAA
rnacentral:rRNA from 1 species